rnacentral:snRNA from 1 species
AUGCUCCCUUCAGCAGCCCAUGGGCUAAAGCUGGGAGGAUACACAAAGAAUGAGCCUGGGCCUUACGCAAGGCUGACAUGCAGGUACAUGAAGAGUUCCGUAUUUUA